rnacentral:rRNA from 1 species
GGGUUGUGAGGUUAAGUGACUAAGCGUACACGGUGGAUGCCUAGGCAGUCAGAGGCGAUGAAGGGCGUGCUAAUCUGCGAAAAGCGUCGGUAAGGUGAUAUGAACCGUUAUAACCGGCGAUACCCGAAUGGGGAAACCCAGUGUGUUUCGACACACUAUCAUGUCAUGAAUACAUAGUGGCAUGAGGCGAACCGGGGGAACUGAAACAUCUAAGUACCCCGAGGAAAAGAAAUCAACCGAGAUUCCCCCAGUAGCGGCGAGCGAACGGGGAGGAGCCCAGAACCUGAAUCGGCUUGUGUGUUAGUGGAAGCGUCUGGAAAGUCGCGCAGCAAAGGGUGAUAGCCCCGUACACUAAAAUGCACAGGUCGUGAGUUCGAUGAGUAGGGCGGGACACGUGACAUCCUGUCUGAAUAUGGGGGGACCAUCCUCCAAGGCUAAAUACUCCUGACUGACCGAUAGUGAACCAGUACCGUGAGGGAAAGGCGAAAAGAACCCCGGCGAGGGGAGUGAAAUAGAACCUGAAACCGUGUACGUACAAGCAGUGGGAGCACCUUCGUGGUGUGACUGCGUACCUUUUGUAUAAUGGGUCAGCGACUUAUAUUUUGUAGCAAGGUUAACCGUAUAGGGGAGCCGUAGGGAAACCGAGUCUUAACUGGGCGAUUAGUUGCAAGGUAUAGACCCGAAACCCGGUGAUCUAGCCAUGGGCAGGUUGAAGGUUGGGUAACACUAACUGGAGGACCGAACCGACUAAUGUUGAAAAAUUAGCGGAUGACUUGUGGCUGGGGGUGAAAGGCCAAUCAAACCGGGAGAUAGCUGGUUCUCCCCGAAAGCUAUUUAGGUAGCGCCUCGUGAACUCAUCUUCGGGGGUAGAGCACUGUUUCGGCUAGGGGGCCAUCCCGGCUUACCAAACCGAUGCAAACUCCGAAUACCGAAGAAUGUUAUCACGGGAGACACACGGCGGGUGCUAACGUCCGUCGUGAAGAGGGAAACAACCCAGACCGCCAGCUAAGGUCCCAAAGUCAUGGUUAAGUGGGAAACGAUGUGGGAAGGCACAGACAGCCAGGAUGUUGGCUUAGAAGCAGCCAUCAUUUAAAGAAAGCGUAAUAGCUCACUGGUCGAGUCGGCCUGCGCGGAAGAUGUAACGGGGCUAAACCAUGCACCGAAGCUGCGGCAGCGACGCUUAGGCGUUGUUGGGUAGGGGAGCGUUCUGUAAGCCGUUGAAGGUGGCCUGUGAGGGUUGCUGGAGGUAUCAGAAGUGCGAAUGCUGACAUAAGUAACGAUAAAGCGGGUGAAAAGCCCGCUCGCCGGAAGACCAAGGGUUCCUGUCCAACGUUAAUCGGGGCAGGGUGAGUCGACCCCUAAGGCGAGGCUGAAAAGCGUAGUCGAUGGGAAACAGGUUAAUAUUCCUGUACUUGGUGUUACUGCGAAGGGGGGACGGAGAAGGCUAGGCUGGCCGGGCGACGGUUGUCCCGGUUUAAGCGUGUAGGGGGUGUGACCUGGUAAAUCCGGUUGCAUACUAACCCUGAGGCGUGAUGACGAUGCACUACGGUGCAGAAGUAGUUGAUGCCCUGCUUCCAGGAAAA